GGGAGCGGCAUUUUGCGGUCACGUGAUUCGUUUUGCCGCUGUCACAUGUUAACAUGGCUGCUACCGUCUCCAGUGAGGUCUUCUCUGAUCUGCAGCUUCUCUUAAAGGCUCCUUCUAAAGAUGUAGUCAGAGAAGUCUGUGUCCAGAGUCACAGCGGUCCAAGUCGGCAACUGACGGACAACACCGCAGCAGCGCUCAGCAUCUCUGCAGCCCAGGCAGCUCAGUUGGUCCAGUCCCUCCACACCCUAUCCCAUCACAUCCUCUUCUACAACCUCAGCUCCCCAGAGCAGAUCCUCUCCAUCUUCCCUGAGACCUUUCACUCCAGCCUCAAGAACCUGAUCACCAAAAUCCUGCUGGAGAACAGUCCGGCAUGGAGAACAGGAGCCCUCGAUAAGCAGGUCUCCCUCCCUCAGCUAAAGGACUUGGACUGGAGGGUGGACUUGGUGACUGGCUCAGACUCAGUCAGUCGAAUGUCCAUGCCAACCUGCCUGGUUCAGCUGAAGUUGGAGGAUCCGUGUCAGUCCACGGACAUGGAGUCGGUUUCCACAGUGACUGUAGAGCUGAGACAGACGGCAAGAAACAUCCUGGGAGCUGAGAGCUGAAGGUCUGUUAGCCAUCUGCUGAAGACCCACAUUUAAAUACGAAGUGAGCAGCCCAAUGAAUUCCUUGUAUAUAAAUCUGUACCAGUGUGUGUGAGCCAAUGCAGGCCAGUUCAUAGGUACACAUUCGUGCACCACUGUUCCUGAUGAAAUGGCUGGAGGCAUGAAAAACUGAAUCCAAAAUGUGCAGAGCCUGGACUGGGAAAUGUGUGUAUAAAACAUCACCAUAAUCGAGCACAGUAAAAAAAUGUUGCAGCAACAAAUAUCAUCCUUGCAAGUAAAGACAAACAUAACUUGUUUCUGAAGUGAUUAUAUGUAUUUUAGAUUGAGAAUAGUUUAAAUCUAAAAUAAAAGAAGCAGAAGAUUUUCUGAGAUGCCAGGAAGAAAGACUACUCUAAAAAGAAAACUGACCCAUUUGUUCAUGUGUUUGAGUGUCAUAUUAAAUAUGUAUGACAAUAUUUUAAAAAAAGAAUCUCCUUGAAAACUAUCUGUGAUUUAUAAUACAAAAGUGCUUUUUUAGAGUUUAUAAUAUUUGACAGAUUUAAACUGUUUUAAACUCCUUAAUAAUACAUGACUAUGUACGCGUGCAUGUUAGUAAAUAUUAUUUUAUCAUAUUAUUUAAUUUUAUCACAAAUUACUUUCCUCUUUCCUUAUAGGGUAAGUGUACUUGCCACAGUCUUCGUUAAUGGACACAGUCUGUCUGCUCAUGCAUUGUAAAUAAAGUUUUUUUUUAGGAAAACCACUGCCCCUGCAUAGUGGCUAUGGUCAACCCGUGCCUCCACGAUCUAAUCGUUUGUUUUCUUCGUCAUGUCGGCUCUCUGUAUUCUGGACUAGGAGUAUGUUUUUCCUCAGGAAAGUUUAAUCCAUCUGAGGAUUUCAGUUAAUUUUAAAGAAAAAGGAUGGCGUGUUGUGCUGAUAAAUGUGUCAACAGACCUUGCAGAAAUUCAACUCUGCAGUUUUUCCGAUUACCUCAUCGUGAUCCUGAGCGGCUGAAGAUGUGGCUGCUUAACAUCAAAAGAAAGGACUGGACUCCAUCCACCUCUUCUCGUCUGUGUAGCGAACAUUUUGAGGAAGAUCAGUUCCUAGUCAACAACCAAGGACUAAAGAGGCUAAAGAGCACAGCUGUGCCAACGAUUUUCAAUUUGCCCAUCCGCAAGAAAGUGGAAGUAUCAGCAUGUCCUUUUACUGCCGUCGUGGUAAAAGAAGAGGAAAGUGAUGAGCCAGUGUUCCCAAGUUUAGCUCAUUUUGGCCAUGGCGCUAACUUUACACGUCAAGAUCAUAGCUAUGUCAAUGAACCAAUUGAAGUUAUUGUCAAAGAAGAGUCUUCUGACAGUGCGGAGCAGGAUGAGGGGGUUACGGCAAACUGCAAUGCCAUUGAAAGUAUUUGCUGUUUAGACCACAAUUACAUCAUUGCUGACUCCCCACUACUAUUAAAAAGGAAAAUGGUUGUAUUACAGGGCCAGCUACAUGCAGCCCGUAAAAAGCUCAAAUUAAAGUACCAACACACUAGAAGGUUGAAAAAACAAGUGUCAUCCUUGAAAAAUGCAGUUAGUGUUCUUCAAAAGAAGUUGCUGGUCUUCAACAAGUUUGCUGCUCUCCUACCUGCCGUGGAUUUGGAGGACUGUUACGGGCCGGACCCCUGCCUCAGCCUGGGAGAUUAACCACAAAGCGGCCGUGACAUAUGGCGGAUGGACACCAAAAAGAAUAAGGAACACAGUUUAUUGAAAAAUAAGAGCUUAUGGUAUUACUUUAGAUGCUCCUUUGAAAGACAUCCAAAUACUUGAAAACUAAGGUGGCUUUAUUCAGCGGUUUUUGUCUCUAUUGAUAACUUGGGAGCAAAUUCUCUUACUGGUUUCAUGAAUCUUUAUAUGUAGAAACGCUGUUUGUUGUUGGAAAGGAGUUUUAACUUCUCAGGACUUAUGAAGCCACCAUGUCAGAGUUCAAACGGGGAACAGAUGUUGUCAAAAGUGAAUGUUUUUAACAAAUAUAUUUUCACACUGUAACAGGACUUCCACCUGAUGUUCUACAUGACUUAUUAGAGGGAAUUUAGCUUGUCAACAAAAAUUGAUGUCUGACAAAAGAUUCUCACUUGAAGAAUUAAACACUGCCAUUCGCAAUGUCCUUUAUUGAUUAUCAGAGAGAACUAAUCAACCUCGACAACUAAACCAGACUUUAAAAGUUAAUGGAACAAUCGGGGGCAAUGGACAUGAGAAUUGGACUCUUGAGGCUGCUACCCCUGAUGGUCAGACAUCUGACACUUGAGAACAACAUAACUUGGAGAAUAUUACUUGAACUGAAAGACAUUGUGGAACUUCUUGCCUCCUCCCGUUUGUCACUGAAUCGUUUUAUUUGGAAUACAAAAUAUCGGCCCCAUGGCGGUUCCUGCAGGACGAUCUCCUGGACUUCAAUUUAAGAGCCAACUAUAAUUUUGUUUCUUCCUCAUCUGUUGCUUUGGUCUAUUGCUUGACUGUCGGACUAUAUGUUUUGAAGCCAAAGAUAGUUUUUUUUUUUUUUUUGUGACGAGAAAGAACAAUUUAAAAACGAUUUUACCCAUGCUGCUUUACUUCCUGGACAUGCCCAGCCUUUUUAAGCCCCCAGUAGAUGCUUGCCCUGUGCAUCUUGUUUCUUUAGACAUUUUGGAUUAUUCAGUGAGACAGGCCAUCAGCUCAAAGUAUGAAAAUGUCUCAUCUGUGUCUCUUACUCCUCGUGCCUCUCUGUAUGCCCAAGUGUACACUAAAGGCAUAUUUGCGUCUCUUGCUACCACUAAUGGCCUCCCUGAUUUUGCCAAAAUUCCCGAAGUACCUAUUGUUGUGGACAAGGCCUCAUUUAUCAUUGAGUCUUUUUUUUUCGGGUACUUGGAGAACCUUUGAUUCUAUGAACUCCCCAAGAAACCUCCUGCAGAUCUUGUUGCAGAAUCAGAGGAACUGCACUGCUGUUCCACUGUCCCUGGAGGACUUUGGUCUCACCCAGAGGGUUUCUACUACAUGGAGAAGUCAGUACAUCGUCCUUGCUGGGGACAACAUUCAGAGGGUUUGUACUGAAGGAUUUCCAGAGACAGUGGAUGAGCUGAAGAUGAUGGUGAAGACCUGUUUGAACCUGGAGGGUGAGAUGAAGAAUUCUGUGGUGAAUUCUGUUCUCUGAACAACACAGAGGAUUUACACAGUAAAAUCAUUGAACUGAAGGUCAUCAUGAAGGCACCACGCAGCUGUCCACAGUCCCAAGGCGUCUGGCCCAAUCUGUUCCCCAUACCCACCUUCAUCACGAUGCCUUUUUGACUUGUUUGAUUUCUCAAACCCUUUAUUUAUUUAAUAAACCUAUGAAGUUGCAUGUAGUUUAAGUGUAACUUUAUAGUUAUUUUUUAAAUUAAGAACUCAAAUGUUGAUGUUAAACUUUGUUUAAGAUAAACUUCAUUAAAACUUUAUGCAAACUUG